UACGGGGGGGGCAGGCGUUGUUCGGAAUUACUGGGCGUAAAGGGCUCGUAGGCGGCCAACUAAGUCAGACGUGAAAUCCCUCGGCUUAACCGGGGAACUGCGUCUGAUACUGGAUGGCUUGAAUCCGGGAGAGGGAUGCGGAAUUCCAGGUGUAGCGGUGAAAUGCGUAGAUAUCUGGAGGAACACCGGUGGCGAAGGCGGCAUCCUGGACCGGCAUUGACGCUGAGGCGCGAAAGCCAGGGGAGCAAACGGG
rnacentral:rRNA from 1 species